rnacentral:rRNA from 1 species
GAUGAACGCUGGCGGCGUGCCUAAUACAUGCAAGUCGAGCGAACAGACGAGGAGCUUGCUCCUCUGACGUUAGCGGCGGACGGGUGAGUAACACGUGGAUAACCUACCUAUAAGACUGGGAUAACUUCGGGAAACCGGAGCUAAUACCGGAUAAUAUAUUGAACCGCAUGGUUCAAUAGUGAAAGACGGUUUUGCUGUCACUUAUAGAUGGAUCCGCGCCGCAUUAGCUAGUUGGUAAGGUAACGGCUUACCAAGGCGACGAUGCGUAGCCGACCUGAGAGGGUGAUCGGCCACACUGGAACUGAGACACGGUCCAGACUCCUACGGGAGGCAGCAGUAGGGAAUCUUCCGCAAUGGGCGAAAGCCUGACGGAGCAACGCCGCGUGAGUGAAGAAGGUCUUCGGAUCGUAAAACUCUGUUAGUAGGGAAGAACAAAUGUGUAAGUAACUAUGCACGUCUUGACGGUACCUAAUCAGAAAGCCACGGCUAACUACGUG